rnacentral:misc_RNA from 1 species
GAAUCAUUAUCUGCAUUCAGGUUUACCAUAUGGCUACUAUGGUAUACCAUAUUAUGAAUUGAAUUUGUUCCUUCAAAAAGGUGUUGUUCUUUUCCAAAUGAGUUAUGGGAAGAACUGAAGAUCAGGUUUCAAGCUUUAGUCAUGUUUAGUUUAUCAAGGAGUACUACUAGUCAUUGGCUAAAACUCCUGGUGAUUUAGGUGUAUUGUUAUGAAGCAACAUGUUGCUGGUAUAUAUCUCUGUGGUCAUAUAUUGUGUAUUAGAGGAUCUAAGUAGCGUAUUGAGUGCUUAAUUGGUGGAAUGUAUCCUGAAGGGUCCUAAAAUUGUUGAGACUUCACAUUCCUUUAAAUUGUUAGAGGCUUAGGAUAAUGGUGAUCAUGGGAUUAUAUUUCAGCACAACACUCGCAAACUGUCACAGGCUUAACACUAUAGUGAUCAUAGGAUCGUAUAUCAGAACAGCAUGGGCAUAUUGUCACAUGAUUCCUAUGUUCUUUUAGGUUUGGAGUGUUGAUCAUUUGGAGCUGUUGUGCAUUUGUUGUUGCUAUUAUAUGAUGGGCUUGCAGUGUCCGUUGAAUUGACUAAAUUCAUUCAUUGGUAGCUUUGUGCAUGAAAGAAAUGGAACCCAUUGCCCGGGUGUGAAUACUGACUAUGAAAAGCUGUUCCUUGAAAAUUUAAGUGGAUCUUCACCAUGGGGGAUUCCCUUUGAGAGGGAAGGUCUGCUAAAUGUGGUGCAAGUGAAGGUGUGUCCUAGAUCAAAGCUUGCUGAGGAAAAGACCAAAGUGAUUUA